GAUGGGAGCUUGCUCCCUGAUGUUAGCGGCGGACGGGUGAGUAACACGUGGGUAACCUGCCUGUAAGACUGGGAUAACUCCGGGAAACCGGGGCUAAUACCGGAUGGUUGUCUGAACCGCAUGGUUCAGACAUAAAAGGUGGCUUCGGCUACCACUUACAGAUGGACCCGCGGCGCAUUAGCUAGUUGGUGAGGUAACGGCUCACCAAGGCGACGAUGCGUAGCCGACCUGAGAGGGUGAUCGGCCACACUGGGACUGAGACACGGCCCAGACUCCUACGGGAGGCAGCAGUAGGGAAUCUUCCGCAAUGGACGAAAGUCUGACGGAGCAACGCCGCGUGAGUGAUGAAGGUUUUCGGAUCGUAAAGCUCUGUUGUUAGGGAAGAACAAGUGCCGUUCAAAUAGGGCGGCACCUUGACGGUACCUAACCAGAAAGCCACGGCUAACUACGUGCCAGCAGCCGCGGUAAUACGUAGGUGGCAAGCGUUGUCCGGAAUUAUUGGGCGUAAAGGGCUCGCAGGCGGUUUCUUAAGUCUGAUGUGAAAGCCCCCGGCUCAACCGGGGAGGGUCAUUGGAAACUGGGGAACUUGAGUGCAGAAGAGGAGAGUGGAAUUCCACGUGUAGCGGUGAAAUGCGUAGAGAUGUGGAGGAACACCAGUGGCGAAGGCGACUCUCUGGUCUGUAACUGACGCUGAGGAGCGAAAGC
rnacentral:rRNA from 1 species